GCUUAUUUGAGAAGCAUCAAUCUGUACUAAAUUGUUAUCUGCUUAUUUAAGAAGCACAUUGUUGUAAAAUCAUUUGUAAAAAGAGAAAAGGUUAGAGUUAGUUUAUUUUAUGUACCUGUGAGAAAGACGAGUAAUUCUUCGACCAAGACCAGAGUCUUAGAGAGGUCAGCAGGAAGUUGGGUCUCUAGUGUACUUGUGAGGUGAGGAAGAGGUU
rnacentral:lncRNA from 1 species